UACGUAGGGGGCGAGCGUUGUCCGGAUUUAUUGGGCGUAAAGAGCGUGUAGGCGGCCAGGUAGGUCUGCUGUGAAACUCGAGGCUCAACCUCGAGACGUCGGCGGAAACCAUCUGGCUAGAGUCCGGAAGAGGAGAGUGGAAGUUCCUGGUGUAGCGGUGAAAUGCGCAGAUAUCAGGAAGAACACCCGUGGCGAAGGCGGCUCUCUGGGACGGUACUGACGCUGAGACGCGAAAGCGUGGGGAGCGAACAGG
rnacentral:rRNA from 1 species